rnacentral:snRNA from 1 species
GUAUUUGCUUUCCCAACACAUACACUACAACUGGAAUGACACAAAAAAGAUCUGAGCAGUCCUUCCUCGAGGAUGACAGACAAUUUUUGAAGCAUUCCAUAUUUUU